AUGUGAUCGUCUCUCGCAUAUCAAUAAGCGGAGGAAAAGAAACUAACAAGGAUUCCCCUAGUAACGGCGAGUGAAGCGGGAAGAGCUCAAAUUUGAAAUCUUAAAGGGUUUCCCUUUACGAAUUGUAGUUUAAAGAAGUGUUUUCUGUUGAGGUUUUGGUAAAAGUUCUUUGGAAUAGGACAUCAUAGAGGGUGAGAAUCCCGUAUUUGACCUUUACUUUCAACUUUGUGAUACACUUUCAAAGAGUCGGAUUGUUUGGGAAUGCAGUCCAAAAUGGGUGGUAAAUUUCAUCUAAAGCUAAAUAUUGGCGAGAGACCGAUAGCGAACAAGUACCGUGAGGGAAAGAUGAAAAGAACUUUGAAAAGAGAGUUAAACAGUACGUGAAAUUGUCAAAAGGGAAGCGUUUGACACCAGUGUUGUUUUUCUGAAAAUCAAUUAAAGAACUGUUUAUGCUAAGUUGUUUAGACUUUAUCAGCUAACUGUUUAAUUUUGAGCUUUUCUUUAAUGCACUUUUCAGUUAACAAGUCAACAUCAAUUUCUUUUGCUGUAAAAAAGCUUGAGGAAGGUGGCUUGAGAUUCGUCUUAAGUGUUUAUAGCCUCUUGCCUAUGCAGUCGGAGAGAUUGAGGUCUGCAGCGUAGAUCCUUCGGGGCUAAAUGCAUUUGUGCUAAGUUAUAGCAUUUUAUAGACAACUUGUUGACUAUGAUUUGUCUUGUAGCUUACUCGCUUAUGUUAUUUUACCUACGCUUAGGAUGUUGAUAUGCAUGACUGAUAU
rnacentral:rRNA from 1 species